UCGAGUCCGGCUUCCAGGGAGACAGGCUCCAAACCCAGGCCUACAGCAUGAGAGCAGGGCCAGGGAGAGAGGACGCUCUUUUGUUCUUAUUCUUUCAACUAACAUUUACUGAGCCUGUGUCAGGUGCCGUACCUGGCUGGCGGACCCAGGGGUAGCUGAGACACAGCCUCGCCCUGGAGGUGCUCCUGCCGAGCCUGGGGGACUCUUGCAUGGGAACUUACUGUCCUGGGCGGUGGAGCCACAGGCCUGUCGUGUCGGUCCGGUGCAUGAUCUCUGACCCAAUCCUUCUCCAAUACAAAAGGAAAGACGAUCAAGAGAGUGAAGGCCAGCUAGCGCGGACGGACGGGCCACCGUUGGCUAGAGUCACCAGUGCACUCUUGGGGACAGCGUGAUGCGCCACCUCUGAAGGUGAUACACCUGCUCCCCCUUUGCCUUCUGCCAGGAGUGGAAGCUUCCUGAGAUCUCACCAGAAGUAGAUGCUGGCAUCGUGCUUCUUGUCCAGCCUGCAGAACCGUGAGCCAAACAGACUCUUUUCUUUAUAAAUGGCCCAGCCUCAGGUGUUCCCUUCUAGCCACCAGAACAGACAAGACAAUUCUCUUCUCUGAGAGGCUUCCUUGGCUACCUGUUUAAAACUCUGACUCAUCCCGCCCUGGCCAGCAUUCUCGCUCGCCAUUUCAGUGUCAUUUCUACUUGUUUGUUUCUCUUCCCUGCAUGGAACAGAGAUUCUUUUCUUCUUUGCCUUUUUGUUCACUGCUGUCCCUCUGUUGCUCAGAAUUUGUGCUUGACAUGCAGUGAACACUCAAUAAAUGUUUGUUGAGUACAAUAAUAAAUGAAUGAAGAAGUGGGCUUGAAUUUGCUUUUGGUUUUCUGUCUGUUUCACUGUCCAUUCACACAAUGCUACCACAGUGCUUUAAUUCUUAGAGCUUUUAUAACAUUUUUCAGUAUCAGAUGGUGUAAAUCCUUCCUCAAUUUUUCCAUAAUUCUUUUGGCCAUUCUCACCUAUUCAUUUUUCUGAUGACCUUUUGAAUCAAAAGGCUACAUUUUCACACAAAACCUUUACAACUGGAUAAAGAUGGACUAAACUGUCUUACACACGUACUUAUCUACAUUGUGCUGCACAUUAUCUAUGUUCCCAGAUUUCCUACAGGACUAGAAGCUCUUGAGGUUCAGGUUCAUCUUUGUUCUCUGGGGUCUUGGUGAGUAACAGGGGCUCAGCAGACGUUUUCUGAAGCCACAAAGGCAUACACCAGUGUGAGAAGCUUGAGGAAAGCCUGGUUUCCCAUCUGUGAUCUCCCAGAAGCAGGGGCUCAGCCCUUCUUAAUUCCAUUCAGUUCAAGUGCCAUGUAUCUACUGGCAACCCUGUUGCAUUGGGAGUCACUAGUGGCUUAUAAUAAACUUAAAAGAAA